rnacentral:rRNA from 2 species
UUAAGUGACGAUAGCCUAGGGAGAUACACCUGUACCCAUGCCGAACACAGCAGUUAAGCCCUAGAACGCCUGAAGUAGUUGGGGGUUGCCCCCUGUUAGAUACGGUAGUCGCUUAGC